rnacentral:lncRNA from 1 species
ACUCUUCUGUGUCCCACAGACCUCGGGAAGGGACUCUUCAGCUGCAGCGACCCAGGCCCUGGACUUGUCGCCAUCGGCAGGAUCUUCAGCCAGCUCCUCCGACAGGUCUGGAAUCAGGGAGGUUUGGUUUCGCUGGAAGAUGAACAGCUCCUCUUCCCCAUAGUCCGACUGUGGACAAAUGAGAGGGCUUUUGGAGGACAAGGCAGCAGGCAGAGCCCUGAGGGCCUAGCCACCCCCGCUCUCCACUCUCCACUCUCACUUCCAGCCCAGCCCGCCCAGCCCAUCCAGCCCGUCCAGCCCUGCUGCUCAGGAGCCUGGGGGAGAUCCGGUUCUCUCCCAGUCAGCCUUGCUGUGCGCGGCUUCUUGCCACCGUUUAGAAAUGGGCUUGGCAGCACAACCUCGUGGAGGUGAGACUGGGGCUCCUGGUUCUGCAAGUACCUCGCAUACAGCAGGUGCUUCAUUAAUGCCUCGUGACAUGAACAGGGCAGUGAGGUGGUAGCUGAAAGAGCAGGGUCCAGCCCUCCCCAUCCCCUGUGACCCUGAGCCAUCACUUACACAGCUUAGUUUGUCUUCUUGAAGGGGUUGGGGCUCAUACUCUCAAAUGAGACUGAAGGUGUGAAAACACCCUGAGCACUGAGGCGUGGGGUCCCCUUAGGUUCUCCUUAGCCUCGUCAUGCACUGGAUGACGUCUGAGGUCCCUGAAGCUCUGUUGCUGGUGCCCAGGUAGGACCCAAACCCUGCCCGUUCCUUUUAAAACCCUCAUACUGUCUCUUAACGCCCAGUGCCAACCUGUGCACUGAGCAGCCCCCGCCAGGAGCAUCUUUAGCAGGGUCUUAUGCCUGCACCUAGGGCUAUUGGUCUGAGCGUCUUUGAGAGCCAUUUCAGGGACCCCAAACCACAAAUGCAGAAUCCCUCGAAGGCUUAUCACAAUGCACUGGAAUUGUGCAUUCUCAGUGGGUGUUCUGGCCCUGUCCUGGCACGAGAGAGUGGAGAAUAGCAGAAUGGAAAGGACAGAGCUUCUGCAUCAAAUUGACCUGGGUUCCAAGUCAGCACCAAAAACUCCACUGAAAGGGUCUCCCAAGAUGCUGAGCACCAAUACCCAUGCUCAGAGAUGACAAUCAAGGCAGAAGAAAGAGUAAAGAAGGAAAUAGGCACCCAGAAAACACAACUUUGAGUCUGGCCAUGCGAUUUAAAGUAAAAUGACAACAAACUGCACAGGUCAGCAGGAAAAGUCUUCAGAGAAGUGCUCCAAAGCUGUCCUGGCCAGCGUCAUGCCUGCUCUGGUAGGAAGGACAAGGCAUCCAGGGAGAGAGUUCUUGCUUACCAAAGGGGAGUCUGAGUCCAGAGACGGGAGCUGGUCUUUGACAGCCUUGAGGAUGGCAUCCCAGGGCCCCAUCUGGGAGGCCCAGGGAGAGCCCAGCGAGGGUGCCAUGCCUUUAUCGUUGGAUGCCAUGAGGGCCCAGGCUUCCAGAUGCCUUCUCAGUGCACCAUAAUCCGGGGAGCUCUGUGGGGUACACAGGGUGAUGGAAGAGGGUCCGGGCCACUGAAGGUCAGGAGAGCAGGGGCUGCUCUACCAGCUGUAGGAGACCAAACAGGCUGGCAGGCCUCACCACCUGCCUCAGUUUCCUUCUAGUUAUGCAAGCUCCUGUUAGUGCCAGGCACUGUGUGUGUACGUGUGUGUGUGUGUUCCCACUCAUGCACACAUGUGGAGCCUGCAGGUAUAUAAUGUAUAUAGUGAUAUAUACAUAAUAAUAUACAAAUAUAUGUAUUGAUAUAAAUAUACCUAUGUAGAUAUAUGUACAUGUUAUAUAGAAUGCCAUAUGUACGAUAUAUAAUGAUAUAUAGGUAUAUUUUAUAUAUACCCCAUAUAGCAUAACUAUUCUCUUCAUUUCAUAGGCUCAGGGUGUUUAGUAAAUAGCAACAGUGGACUCUGAAUCAGGGGGAAUUUCAAGUCCUACUACCCUUUACUGCCCUUUACCAAGGAACAGAAGACACCUUGCUUUUUUGUUUUGGAGACAGGGUCUGGCUUUGUCGCCCAGGCUAGAGUGCAGUGGUACAAUGAUAGCUCACUGAAGCCUCGGCCUCCUGAGCUCAAGUGAUCCUCCCACCUCAGCCUCCUGAAUAACUGGGACUACAGGUGUGUACCACCACAUCUGGCUAACAUUUUUAUUUUUUGUAGAGAUGGAGUCUCCCUGUUGCCCAGGCUGGUCUCAAACUCCUGGCCUCAAGUGAUCCUCUUGCCUCAGCCUCCCAAAGUGCUGGGAUUACAGGCAUGUGCCAUCGCGCCUGGCUGACAGUUUGGAGUCACUAAGUGAUUUUUUUUUUUUUUUGGAGUCACUACUCUGACCAGCCCCUGCAUUUAUAUCUUAGAGUCUUAAAGGAGAUGGUCCUGUUAUUCAGGGGGCUGGGGAGCUUGAGCUUGAGAGCUGGGGGGUGAGGGUCCUCUAGAGCCAGUGUCAGGAGAACUCUGCAGCUCGAGAGGCCGCUGUGGCUUUGGCCCUGCAGUCAGUGCCCGUUCAUCCCCAAUCAGGGCAGCGGCAGGAGAUGUGAAUUGGGGGCUGCUUGCUUCCUCUGUACUUCUGGGAAUAGGGCAGGUGCUUGGUGCACUCUGAACUGGGAGCAGCGGGUUGGGGACGCAUCUGGUGCACACAGCCAGCGGGUGUUUUUUGUAACUAGAGCUCUGUUCCGCAAUUCAGGGCACAGUAUUUCUUAGGGCAACAGAAUCGUCGGGAUGAAGAGGGCCUCCAGAGACUCUGAUAAACCCUUCAGGCGGACAAGACAAUAGGGGAGGGAACGGCAUUACCGGCAGAAGGAAGAGCAUGUACAGUAGCUCAAAGGAAUGAACCGCCCAACAGGUUUAAGGGAAGAAAGUGUCAGUUGCUGGACUCUCCGGUGAAAACGGACCAGACAAUGCAGGGCCCUGAACGCCAAGUUGAGGAGCUCAGAGCAUCCAGAAGGCGAAGGGGAGGCUCGGAGCCGCCUCUGAAUAACGGCCUUCCGGCUCCGUCUCGGGGUGGGUUUCUCAGCUGCAGCCUGUUAGCCCCGCCACAGCCCCGCCCCGGUUCUCAGAGCCCCGCCCCCAGCCGGCCUGCCACGAGGCUGCCGGUUGUUAUGGCAACCAGACGCCAACAGCCUCCCGGGUCGAGCUUUUAAAUUUUAAAGCUGUGGAAGUGGAAAGCCCAUCGCUCCUCCUCUCACCCACCCCCAGCCCGUAUUUCCCCGCGUUUUGUUCAACUCCCUGCAGGCGCAGCAGGCCCGAGGCCCCUC